CUAAUUGAUCAUUUAUUUUAUUUAGAAGUAGGCCUAUUCUUAUAGAUAGGGCUACUACUAUUCUACUGUAAGAAGAGUAGGCGAGCUGGUGCAGCCUAUGUGUUACCAGUAUGCUUCUGCCUGCUUUGUCAAGCACUAAGUGACGGGAGGGGUUAACAAAGCUUUACACUCGAAAACAGCUCUGCUCAGGUCCUCAGAUUAUUUGACUUUUGUACAUAAACAGUGAGAACAGUGGACUUUUUAUCUACACCCACCAUUUUCCCACCUCACAUUCAGACAAAGCUACCUUAUUAUCUCUGGCAAGAGGAAUUCCACAGUGGCAAAGCUACCAUGUAAAACGAUAGGAACCAAAAACAAGAAAUCAAUUUUCAUAACCAACCUAAGAAAGUGUCUCAAAUGAAUGGGGAAAAUGUUUCAUGGAAUAAAUGUAAUUAUUGUCUCCCUCCUGAAAUGUUAUUUUUGGGAAGCAGCCUUAAUCGCUCCCUGGCUUUGGCAUGUUUGUGACGGGGAUUAAAUUAUUUUCUUCUUUAUUUUUAGUGUUUCUGGCGUACGUCCUAGAUCCUUCUAUCAAGAGGAGAGACCAACCAGUUGGGUGUGUCUGCGCUAAAUCACCGGAGGCGGUGAGGGAACAUCUGUUGCACUGCUGGACACGCACAGCUGUUGAUUAUUGCAGCUAAACUUGCUUAUUAUUGUGCUGAAAAUGAAGGGGCAAGGCUACCAAAAGGGACUAUAAUGUUUCACCCAACUGUACACCGGGUGUCAACACCUUUUGACACAGAAAGUUUGCCUUUAACUCUGUCGGGAGGAGAAAUCCACAGCACACACCAUAUGAAUGUUAAGUCAGUGUGGUUUGCAAGUUUUUAAAUCCUUAUUCACGUAUCAAGGCAUACUGGGUAAAUGUGAGUUAUCCUGUGAUUGUGUUUUGUGGGUGUUGCCCAGGGCAGUUAGUGUAUGAAUAUACUCAGAUCUAGCUGACAGAUUUCUAGCCGGGUUCUGGGGAACAGAUGCAGGAUUGUGAGGCUGGCUUUGGGCUCACUCGGGUGCAGCCAACAAUCUUCAGAAUGGGAUGUUAACCUUUCAGUGUGCCUCCAAAACUGGCCAAAAUAGCCCAAAAACGAAUAGCAGACGGUUUGUUUAGCAGCUGUUCAAACAGGUGAACCAGCCGCUCCUGAUUGAGGCCUGUUCUGCUCACUCAGAGGAUUACAGGUAACAUUAAAGAACUGACACUGUUAAAAUUGCCAUUCAGAGUUAACAACUCUGACUACCUUGUCAAGGAGAUAUUGUAAUGGUAUGGCUCUAUUUUGAUCUAUAAUUGCUCCAGCCUCAAUCUUCAUGUAGAGUUGUCCAUCCUGACAGACAUGCUAGUUAAAACAAUAGCAUUCUAUGCAACCCAGACUGUAGUGGUUGAGAUAAAGAUUAUUAUUCUAUUUUGGAAAUAAAAGCUCCUUAAUCAAGUUCUGGUAGUAAAAUGUUUUAAUGGGAUUUCUCUUUACAAGCUUCCCGUGAUGAGAAGAAAGUGUUGAGACUGGCCCGUACGCCAAAGCAUUGGGAAAAUCCCACUGAAAAAAAAAGUUGUUUUAUGAGAACAAGUAUAUUCAUAACAGGACCUGCUGUCAGGGACAUUUUCCACUGUAAACAUCAGCCACGCAGCAAAGUGGAAAUGAGCAACGUAACAGCUGUUAAACUUUACAAGGCUAGUGCAAUUUAUUAAUACAUUAAACAAACCAAAGUUAAUACUGAACAUGUUGUUUAUUUGAGGUCAGACAUGUUGUGAAGGUUUGAGCGACAUGGGGGAGCGACAGUGUGGUCUACCCAUUCUGACAUUCAGCCUUUCAUAUUUCAGACAUGGUCAAGACAUGUUUAGACAAUGUGAGUAAAAAUGUUAAAACAUUUACACAGUGAGGUAAAGUUGUUAAAGGCCCAACAAACCAACAUCAAUCAAGAUGCUAGCUUACAAUAGAAGCCUUUCCCCAUUGACUGCUUUAAUUAGCACAGUUUUCUCUGUACUGCCUCCUUCUGUAUAGAUGGGUGAAGGGUAUAGAUGGGUGAGCCAUAUAUAGACCCUGCCUGUGUUUACCAUCUUACCAGUGAUCUUGGGUGUGCUAGUCCAUCCACCCAGCCUGUGGUGUUGUUCUGGCCCUACUAUGGCUCUAUUGGGGGCUGAUAAGCAGAUGAAAGAUGGCUGUGUGUGAACCAAGGGGAGGAAUGAGACCUUCCCUAUACCUCUGAUGCUCUCCAGAACCCCAGACCCAACCCACGGUUCCACUCAGUGGCUGUCAUCGUUUGUUAUUGUUCAUUUACCAUGUCUGGAGUCCAUCACUCUGUCUGUGUCUGAUAAUACAUUUUGUCUGUGACAUUAACCAUGAUAUAAAUAAGAAUAAUCAGAAACUAGAAUGGUUUAUGCUGUAAGACCUCAUUGUGUGUGUUUUCUGAUCUCUAGAAUAAUGGUGGCAUAGCAUAGUGCUCCAAAUAAAGCCUUUAGCCUUGGACAAAGAGACCUCUGACUCAAACCAUCAUGGUGUUAAGAGAGCCUACACCUCUAGUCCAGACAUGCUAAACUCAACACGAUACUGCCUUGGGCACAAUCUUUUGUCUGCAUUCUAAAGUAUGUGUACUUAACAUACUGAGUCAAAGUAGUAGGCUAGGUCCCUAAAUACUGUAUAAAGUGGUGGAGAACACACAUAGGCUGCGUUUAGACAGGCAGCCCAAUUCUGAUCCUUUUUUCACCAAUUAGUCUUUUGACCAAUCAGAUCAGCUCUGAAAAAGAGCUGAUGUUAAAAUAUCUGAUGUGAUUGGUCAAAAGACCAAAUAGUGGAAAAAGACUCUAUUCAGGGGAUAACUAUACCGUAGAACACAAACCAUUACACAUUAUUUUAAUAAAAUAAACAGUCAUUAAAAUUCACCUCACCUUAGCACAGGAGAUAUAAACAAAUCAUUAAUCAUGAUUUAAUUAUUAUUACAGGCACAAUGUACUAAUAGCCACAAAAUAUAUCAUAUACUAAGAGACAUUUCUCAACGUAGAACCAGAGCCUAUCAUGGAUGCAGUGAUCAUCUGGUUCGGUAAACUGACUCAUAGCCCUGUUCUGUCUCGUCUUGGGUAUAUUGGAAACAGAACCUACCAUUGAGAAGGAAUGAAAGCCCAUCACAGAGCAUUUUCUGUUGGUGAAAAGUGGCCCACUAUUUAGAGUUUGUGUCCAUAUUUGGAGGGUGACUCCAUGCCAGCACUGCUCUGUGUGUUUGU
ensembl:lncRNA